GUGUGACAGAGAGAGACAGACAGGGAGAGAUAAUGAGCUUUGUGUAUGAGGGUCCUGCAGGAGUUGAGAGGUCCAGUACUUGGUCUCGUGAAGGACAGAGAGAGAGUGAAAGAGAAAUAGUUGCUUCAAAC